GACGAACGCUGGCGGCGUGCUUAACACAUGCAAGUCGAACGGUGAUGCUCCAGCUUGCUGGAGUGGAUCAGUGGCGAACGGGUGAGUAACACGUGAGCAACCUGCCCCAGACUCUGGAAUAAGCGCUGGAAACGGCGUCUAAUACUGGAUACGAAACUGGCCCGCAUGGGCAUGGUUUGGAAAGUUUUUCGGUUUGGGAUGGGCUCGCGGCCUAUCAGCUUGUUGGUGAGGUAAUGGCUCACCAAGGCGACGACGGGUAGCCGGCCUGAGAGGGCGACCGGCCACACUGGGACUGAGACACGCCCAGACUCCUACGGGAGGCAGCAGUGGGGAAUAUUGCACAAUGGGCGAAAGCCUGAUGCAGCGACGCCGCGUGAGGGAUGACGGCCUUCGGGUUGUAAACCUCUUUCAGCAGGGAAGAAGCGAAAGUGACGGUACCUGCAGAAGAAGCACCGGCUAACUACGUG
rnacentral:rRNA from 1 species